GGAGCUGGAGUGCGGAACGGGCGCCUCUGCGCACGCCCAGCCAAGCAACCGCCUCAGCACAGGCUCUUCCUGGCGAUUAAUGAGGCACAGAAAAGAAUAACACCUCAAACCAUUAACCCCAGCCAGCCAUAAAUCCUCAGGAAUUGCCUGGCAGAGUGGCUGCCCUGCGAUAUGAAGGUGAAAAUGCAUUUUUAAAAAGCCUAUGGAUUUUCUUUAAUGGACAACAGUAUUACUGGUGCCCAGUGGGCCUCUCCACAGACUAAUACCUCACCCAGGGCCUGGCCUUUUAUUCAAUCUGCAACGUUCCUUUCCCCCUGCCGCUGCCUGCCUCUUUUUGGUCCUCUUUGCUCCUAGAAUAGAUUGAAAAAGACCACAAAAACUGAAAACGAACUGGAACAAGAGACAGAUAAGCUCAGCCAGCUUGCAGGAGCCUCAACCUGAGAGCAGCUAGCUGCCUGCUCCAAAGGUGGGCUCGGUGGGCAGCCAAGGGGGGAGGAACUCAGGACAAAGACAGCCAGGCUGCGGGAGUCCUCAAUCGACUUUUUUGACAUUGAAAUCCCCAAUGAAAAUGCAAAGGUUAUCUAACAGGGGAAGCCCCUGAGCCAUUUGUAGGCUAUUAACAGCUUUGCUACAAAUAAAUUUGUCUAAUAUCGUCAAUCACCUGGCAGAGCCCUGGGCAAUGGAACUCAACACAGCUCCUGCCCGGGAAAAGUCCUACUUUCGUUUGUAUGUGGUAAUAAGGACGUACUCAGCCUCUUCUCAAGCAGACCCUGAAAUGAGGACUCACAUGCAAGUAAUUCAUUAAGAAAGUAAUCUCAAGAGCGACUGGUAAGGAAAUGAGGUGAAUUCAAGUGAAUUCGCAGAGUGACGAUUCCAGGUAAGAGAAGAACUUCACAAAGUCCGAAGCAAGUACAAAGAAGCGUUUGCAAAAGAGACAGAGGCUGGGUCAGAUAUCUUGCGCUUUCCGCACACACCACCGAGAAGUCCCAGGAGGCUGGUACUCUUAACAAUCCCAACGAAAAGACAUCCUGACAGUCUCCAAAGUGGUGUAAAUCACGGCUGUGUGUAGCUUUGAAAAAUC